AUUGAACGCUGGCGGCAUGCCUUACACAUGCAAGUCGAACGGUAACAGGUCUUCGGAUGCUGACGAGUGGCGAACGGGUGAGUAAUACAUCGGAACGUGCCCGAUCGUGGGGGAUAACGGAGCGAAAGCUCUGCUAAUACCGCAUACGAUCUACGGAUGAAAGCAGGGGACCGCAAGGCCUUGCGCGGACGGAGCGGCCGAUGGCAGAUUAGGUAGUUGGUGGGAUAAAAGCUUACCAAGCCGACGAUCUGUAGCUGGUCUGAGAGGACGACCAGCCACACUGGGACUGAGACACGGCCCAGACUCCUACGGGAGGCAGCAGUGGGGAAUUUUGGACAAUGGGCGCAAGCCUGAUCCAGCCAUGCCGCGUGCAGGAUGAAGGCCUUCGGGUUGUAAACUGCUUUUGUACGGAACGAAAAGACUCUUUCUAAUAAAGAGGGUCCAUGACGGUACCGUAAGAAUAAGCACCGGCUAACUACGUGCCAGCAGCCGCCGUAACAC
rnacentral:rRNA from 1 species